CGAUGGUCUCGCUCCUUUUGCUGGAUAACUACAUUUAAGCAGCAGCGCAUAACCCAGUGGACCCGGGGUUAGUCUACUUGGAUGGUUCUUAUCAAUUUAGAGAAGUUCUGCUAUUUUUCCCUGGAUAUAGAUAUGAAAGAAAGCAAUGUGGUAGCUAUCUUCAGAUCAAGAAGUCUCAGGUCUGAGGACCAGUAUCCUGAAUGUGGCAAUGCAGAAAGAUGGUAUUACUGCUUCCAGCUGUGGGCCACCUUGCAGAGGCAGUUAACCCACAAGCCAAUACGGCAUGGGUACUUCCAGGAGCCCAGGCAUAUGACCUAAGCUUGGCCAACUAGACUCUCUACACCAGCAUUUCGGCCUUUCAGCAAGGAAAGAAGAAAUGACUAGUGGCCCACCAGAAUAUCAUUCAAGUCACCAUCGCAAGCCACACAUACAACUUUAAAUUUUCUAAUAGCUACCAAAACAAGGUGCGAAAUCCGUACCGAAUGCUAACUGCAAUGUGUGGGCCUUCUGGAAGAGAACGUGUGGGCAACAUUCAACAAA